ACCGAUGCGACCGAGUAUUCGAUUCAACAAGUGAGCGAUUAGGCUGCAUUGGUAGCAGACUCCUCAAUCAAUGCGAAUAAUCCAUGAAUUCCUAGCUGAAUCGGUUAUAGAGUCAUGGAUCGGUUAUCGCGAGACUUUGCAUGGGUUGGCUAGAUUACAAUAUGCGCCAGCGUCUCUAAAACAACGCGAGAGCUGAAGCUACUCGCCAAACGCGGUAGCCGCCUAGCUGGUAAUAGCACGAGUGAUAAACAAGAGACAACACGGAAAAUGAAGGAGGAAGAGAACGAAAGCGUCAGUCUGACCGAAGGUGAUAAUGGACCGAGAAAGAUUUUCAACGCAUCGGGGAGACAGAAAUCCAAAGUGUGGAAAGUUUUUGGGUUUUAUAAGAAGGAAGGGAAGCUCGACAGAAGCCAUGCUAUUUGUAAAUUGUGUCGAGCAUCGUUGACGUACACUGGCAGCACUACAAAUCUCGACCAGCAUGCAAAGAGGAAACACGGCCAAGAGUACGGUGAGUUAAAACCCCGUGCCAACGAGCAGGAGUGUGCAGCAAGCAGUAGCACACAGCCAGGGAGCACCAUUCCUAACUUAUUCGGGCAACUUGGUCACAAUUCAGCACGCGCUAAGGAAAUCACAGCGUCAAUUACGCGUUUUAUCGCCAAGGGAUUAUGUCCUUACAACAUUGUUGAGUGGGAAGGAUUUCAGGAUUUGAUUCAUACGUUAGAGCCCAGGUAUAAGAUACCGUCCCGAAAUCAUACGACCAACACGUGCAUGCCAGCGUUGUAUGCCCAAGUUAAGAGCCAAGUAGAAAAAGAGCUGGCAAAUGCCGAGCGAGUGGCAAUAACAACAGACGCUUGGACGUCAUGUGCGACCGAGUCUUAUGUGACGAUCACGGCCCACCACAUCUCUCCGGAUUGGAAGUUAAAUGUUCAUGUGUUACAGACCAGGGCAUUCAAAGGAUCCCACACUGGGAAGAAUGUGGGUGCUCUGCUGAAGCAGGCAUGUGCUGACUGGAACCUUCUUGAUAAAGAGCCAGCCCUAGUAACUGACAAUGCCACAAACAUGAUCUUAGCUGGGGCAGAAGCAGAGAUGAGCCCUCACGUCGUGUGCUUUGCACACACAAUAAAUCUGGCCACACAGAAAGCCUUCAAAGUGGACACAGUAGCAAGGAUGCUGGGGAGGGUGAGGAGAGUGGUUGGCUUUUUUCACCGCAGUGUCAGGGCAGCAGAAAUUCUACAAGACAAACAGAAACAACUGGCCUUGCCUAUCCACAAACUCAUCCAAGACGUGUCCACCCGGUGGAACAGUACCCAGAAUAUGCUUGAACGUGUACUGGAACAACAGCCUGCCAUUUCUGCUGCACUUAUGUCCAGGGAUCUCAGAAGAGGAGAAGAGAUUAACACUCUUUAGGACAAAGACUUUUGCGAUAUUGAAGACAUUGUCAAGCUGAUGGCACCGGUCAAACUUGUGACCACUACCAUGUGUGAAGACAAGCGGCCCACACUCUCAAUGAUUUCCCCUGUCAGAGCAAAGCUUAAAAAGAACUUUGAAGCAUCAGAUGAAGACUCAAAGAUAUGAAACAAGCAUUCAGAAAUGACUUGGAGAAGCACUACACCGGCCUGGAUGAUCUCUUCUACACUGCAGCAGCUCUGGACCCCCGGUUCAAAUCUCUGCCCUUCCUGACGGACCAUGAUGCUGAGCGGAUGUUCACAAGCAUAACAGCAGAAGCUACAUCCCUGCAUAACAAGGUAAAUCCCCCAACACAAAAUCAUUUAAUCAACACAAAUUACAUAUUUCAAUGCAUUCUCAAGUCUACUGUCAUUAGAUUUAUUCUGACUGCUGUUACUGUCUGUUUGUUGUUUUGUGUUUGUCUUUUAUAUUUUAUUUCUACGCAACAGGGGAUCCAGUCCAGAGAGGUCCACUGCAGACAAAUCCAUGUCAGACUGAACCUGCCCUUGGAGAUCUGGACAUCAGCAUUGAUGUACCCCAGAACCAAGAAGAGCCAGAUGAUGAUGACCCUCCUGUCAAAAAAGAAGAAAAUGUCAGCGUUGGACCAGCUGUUGGGAAAAGACGUUGAAGUGAGGAUGGCAGCUACAUCUGUAAGAGACAAGGCCAGUGAAGAAGUCAAGAGGUACAGAGAGCGUGAUCCGUUGCCCCUGCAAAAAAAACCACUACAGUGGUGGAAAGAGCUGCAGGACUUGCCACUGCUGUCAUCUCUCGCUAAAAGAUACCUCUGCAUCCCGGCCACCAGUGUGGCAUCUGAACGUGUGUUCAGUACUGCGGGAGACAUUGUUUCCACAAAACGUAGUCUGCUCAAACAUCAGCAUGUGGAUCAGUUGAUUUUCCUUAAAAAAAAUCUGCCCUCCAAAAAAACAGAGGACAGUGAUGAUGAAAAUGCACAGGCAUAGUGUAAGUGAAAUACUGCUUUUUGACCUGGGAAACGGUACCUCACACACAGUAGUUUGAUUGUUCUUUUUACAUAUAUAUUUAUUUUCUCUAUUCUUUUACACAAAGCACUUGUCACUGUGCUCAUUGUUGCCACAUUUUGAGAUGUGUUAUAGGUGUAUAACUUGUUUACAUUGUAAUGUUGCACCUUUGUUACCUACCUCUAGUGUUCAAAACACUAUAUGCUCAGGCUGAAAUAUUGAAUCUUUGUUGUUACUAUUCUGUGCUACUUUUACCUCUGGAGUUCCCAUCCUACAAUUCAGCCAGACUUUUUUUGGUCCAUGUCUAAAAAUAAAUACGUUGACAUGUGAUUUUGUUGUUCUGUUUUUUUUGCCAGUGCCAUAAAGCCACAAUGCUUGGGGAUUUGGAAUCUUGAAUAUUAACCGUCAAAUCGAAUCGUAUCGUUUGGAAUCGAAUCCGAUUGAAUCGGUCUGUAAUAAAAGGAUAUCGUUUUUGAAUCGAAUCGUAACCUGUUU